ACAGUUGACCGGCUUGUCGCUGCUGACGCACGUCAGUUGAGGAAAGUCCGGGCAACACAGGGCAUUCCACUUCUUAACGGGAAGUAGUCCGUGAGGGUUAGACCAUGCAGAAGAGAACGACCGCCUUAUAUUAUUUAAGGUAAGGGUGAGAAGGUGGGGUAAGAGCCCACCGGUCGGAUGGUGACAUCCGAGCCGUGCAUUCUGGAAGUUGAAAGUUCGCGUAAACCGGCGCACAAAAGAGAGGGUAGCCCGCCCGAGCCGGAGGGUAGAACGAUAGAGCCAUGCGGUGACGUAUGGUCCGGAUAAAUGACAAGCACUCUGCAUUACAGAGUACAGAACCCGGCUUAUAGGUUGACUGUUUCU
rnacentral:RNase_P_RNA from 1 species